rnacentral:rRNA from 1 species
GACGAACGCUGGCGGCGUGCUUAACACAUGCAAGUCGAACGGAAAGGCCCUGCUUUUGUGGGGUGCUCGAGUGGCGAACGGGUGAGUAACACGUGAGUAACCUGCCCCUGACUUUGGGAUAACUUCAGGAAACUGAGGCUAAUACCGGAUAGGAGCUCCUGCUGCAUGGUGGGGGUUGGAAAGUUUCGGCGGUUGGGGAUGGACUCGCGGCUUAUCAGCUUGUUGGUGGGGUAGUGGCUUACCAAGGCUUUGACGGGUAGCCGGCCUGAGAGGGUGACCGGCCACAUUGGGACUGAGAUACGGCCCAGACUCCUACGGGAGGCAGCAGUGGGGAAUAUUGCACAAUGGGCGGAAGCCUGAUGCAGCAACGCCGCGUGCGGGAUGACGGCCUUCGGGUUGUAAACCGCUUUCGCCUGUGACGAAGCGUGAGUGACGGUAAUGGGUAAAGAAGCACCGGCUAACUACGUG